rnacentral:rRNA from 1 species
GAUCAUGGCUCAGGACGAACGCUGGCGGCGUGCCUAACACAUGCAAGUCGAACGGAAGUUAGAGCUUCGGUUUUAACUUUAGUGGCGAACGGGUGAGUAACGCGUGAGGAACCUGCCUUUCAGUGGGGGACAACAGUUGGAAACGACUGCUAAUACCGCAUGACACUUUUGAGGGACAUCCCUUAAAAGUCAAAGCUUUAUGUGCUGAAAGAUGGCCUCGCGUCUGAUUAGCUAGUUGGUGAGGUAACGG